rnacentral:rRNA from 1 species
AAGGCCCUCUGGGUUGUAAACUUCUUUUAUCUGGGAAGAAAUCCAUUUUUUCUUAUGUGGUUGACGGUACCAGAUGAAUAAGCACCGGCUAACUCCGUGCCAGCAGCCGCGGUAAUACGGAGGGUGCAAGCGUUAUCCGGAUUCACUGGGUUUAAAGGGUGCGUAGGCGGGUAUGUAAGUCCGUGGUGAAAUCUCCGAGCUUAACUCGGAAACUGCCGUGGAUACUAUUUGUCUUGAAUAUUGUGGAGGUGAGCGGAAUAUGUCAUGUAGCGGUGAAAUGCUUAGAUAUGACAUAGAACACCAAUUGCGAAGGCAGCUCACUACACAAAUAUUGACGCUGAGGCACGAAAGCGUGGGGAUCAAACAGGAUUAGAUACCCUGGUAGUCCACGCCCUAAACGAUGAUUACUCGACAUCCGCGAUACACUGUUGGUGUCUGAGCGAAAGCAUUAAGUAAUCCACCUGGGAAGUACGAUCGCAAGAUUGAAACUC